rnacentral:rRNA from 1 species
UACAGAGGUGGCAAGCGUUGUUCGGAAUUACUGGGCGUAAAGGGCGCGUAGGCGGCCUACUAAGUCAGACGUGAAAUCCCCCGGCUUAACCUGGGAACUGCGUCUGAUACUGGAAGGCUUGAGGAUGGGAGAGGGAUGUAGAAUUCCAGGUGUAGCGGUGAAAUGCGUAGAUAUCUGGAGGAAUACCGGUGGCGAAGGCGGCAUCCUGGACCAUACUGACGCUGAGGCGCGAAAGCUAGGGGAGCAAACGGG